UAAAUAUUAAAAUUAUCUCUCUCUCUCUCUCUCUUUAAAAAAACAAAACAAAACUGUGAGACAUCAUUCACCUGCAUCAGCCCCCUGCCUGGGACACCACGUAGCAAAAGACAUAAAACUUCCUACUAGGAUUGCCAGGUUCCUGCAGAAAGGGUGGCGGGGAUGCUUCUGAACUCAAGCCUGACUUGGAUCACUGAUGUCCAGCGCCCCACUGCUACAGUAAGCUUGUUCUACAGGUUCCCAGAGGGGUCCCAGGAGGAAGCCACUGUGGCCAGCAGGAGUUGUGGGGUGGCUGACUGGGGACCCCAGGAGCGCCUGGCAGCCCAGAGCCAUGAAAUCAUGAUGCUGCAGCGUGUGCUGCGCAGGGACAGUAGCAAAGGGCUGAUGAACUUAACAGGACAGCAUGGCUCCUCCUUUCUGGAAGUGGGGAAACCAAAGCAGGGUGGGCUCAGGGCAAGGUCAGGUGAGAGGGGCUGUCGGCAAACUUCCUUUCCUUCUUCCCUUGACUCGUAGCAGGGAGUCUUCCUGAACCUCUAAAAUCCAUAUUUCAUGAUUGACUCUUCUUCUAUCAGGCAAACCCUAAAUGGUGGUCAUGAUGCCUCAUGUCCCUUUGCCUGAGUCUCUUGUGGGGUCAGACACACACAGGGGUAGCUGGGGGCUGGUUGUAAGGUCCUUGCUUAGCAUCUGGACGGCCAUCUUAAGUGACAGCUGCCAUUUUAAGAAAAAUUUCACUUGUCCCACCCAAGAGCAUUUCUGAGAAAGGCUCACCACUCCCUCAUACUCACCCCACCCUUAACCACCCAGUUCUAAUCCCUCAGCCUGCCCCAAACCUGUAUUGCCUCUCUUGUCCAAGGAGAGAUGGCCUUUCUUUGUCAGCUUGACAAAUAAACUCUCGUGUAUA